rnacentral:ncRNA from 3 species
AGAUGCUCAUUCCAUCUCUUAUGUUCGCCUUCUGGCCUCAUAAACUCAGGAAUGAUGCAGAGCCGUUUACGGUGCUUAUCGUCCACUGACAGAUGUCGCUUACGCCUCAUCAAACACCCUGGACACAACGUUGAGUGAAGCACCCCUUU